AUUGAACGCUGGCGGCAUGCCUUACACAUGCAAGUCGAACGGCAGCACGGGUGCUUGCAGCUGGUGGCGAGUGGCGAACGGGUGAGUAAUACAUCGGAACCUGUACUGUAGUGGGGGAUAGCCCGGCGAAAGCCGGAUUAAUACCGUAAACGCACCACGGAUGAAAGCGGAGGACGUUCGGGCCUCGCGCUAUAGGGUUGGCCGAUGGCUGAUUAGCUAGUUGGUGGGGUAAAGGCCUACCAAGGCGACGAUCAGUAGCUGGUCUGAGAGGACGACCAGCCACACUGGGACUGAGACACGGCCCAGACUCCUACGGGAGGCAGCAGUGGGGAAUUUUGGACAAUGGGCGAAAGCCUGAUCCAGCAAUGCCGCGUGUGUGAAGAAGGCCUUCGGGUUGUAAAGCACUUUUGUCCGGAAAGAAAUCCUUGACGCUAAUACAGUCGUGUGAUGACGGUACCGGAAGAAUAAGCACCGGCUAACUACGUG
rnacentral:rRNA from 1 species